rnacentral:rRNA from 1 species
GACGAACGCUGGCGGCGUGCUUAACACAUGCAAGUCGAACGUGAUUUUUGUGGAAAUUCUUUCGGGAAUGGAAAUGAAAUGAAAGUGGCGAACGGGUGAGUAACACGUGAGCAACCUACCUUACACAGGGGGAUAGCCGUUGGAAACGACGAUUAAUACCGCAUGAGACCACAGAAUCGCAUGAUAUAGGGGUCAAAGAUUUAUCGGUGUAAGAAGGGCUCGCGUCUGAUUAGCUAGUUGGAAGGGUAAAGGCCUACCAAGGCGACGAUCAGUAGCCGGUCUGAGAGGAUGAACGGCCACAUUGGAACUGAGACACGGUCCAAACUCCUACGGGAGGCAGCAGUGGGGAAUAUUGCACAAUGGGGGGAACCCUGAUGCACCGACGCCGCGUGAGCGAAGAAUGUUUUCGAAUCGUAAAGCUCUGUCCUAUGAUAAGAUAAUGACGGGAUGAUAUGAGGAACCCCCGGCUAAAUACGUGCCGGCAACCGCGGUAAUACGUAGGGGGCGAGCGUUGUCCGGAAUUAUUGGGGCGUAAAGGUUACGUAUGCGGUUUUGUUAGUCAGGGGUGAGAGCGUGAGGCUUAACCUCAUUAAUCACUUGUUUCUGUAAGACUUGAUUGUAUGUGAGUAAAGUGGUGUUGCUAUUGUGGUGGUUAAUGCGUAGAUUUGAUGAGUAUACCGUGGCUAUGGCUAUUUUCUUGAAUUUUACUGUGUGUAGGUCGAUGGCGUGGUGAGCUAAUUGAUUAGUGCCCUGGUAGUGCUGGUCUAUUUUUUUUGUGUGAUCAUGCUCAUUCCCUUCUCGCCCCUGCCGUGUAACACAGCACGCUGAUUUUGUCUCUGUUUGAAUGGUGGUUUAUUCCCAGUGCUCUUGUGGAAUGUCGUGUGGUGUGUGGC